ACAAGCAAAAAACUGGCGGACACUGUCCGUACAACUGUAUAAGCAUGCGUGAUGCUAUAUUCCUUUUUUAUAGUAGCUCCUUUUUAUACAAUAGACCUCGCAAAUAUCGGUGUUUUCUUGUCAUUUUACUUGUCUAACCAACCAGCAAUUGUACCGCGGCAUACACAGUGCGCGGUGCGGCGGGAACCAAUCAUACUGGUUAUCGCGAAGACAACUUCCCAAUCAAUCAAGCGAACUUGUAAAAAAAAAAA